UACGGAGGAUGCGAGCGUUAUCCGGAUUUAUUGGGUUUAAAGGGUGCGUAGGCGGUCCGUUAAGUCAGCGGUAAAAUUGCGGGGCUCAACCCCGUCGAGCCGUUGAAACUGGCAGACUUGAGUUGGCGAGAAGUAUGCGGAAUGCGUGGUGUAGCGGUGAAAUGCAUAGAUAUCACGCAGAACUCCGAUUGCGAAGGCAGCAUACCGGCGCCCUACUGACGCUGAGGCACGAAAGCGUGGGUAUCGAACAGG
rnacentral:rRNA from 1 species